CGUAGGGGAAGCGCAGGGGCAGGUCGGAGCCGCCGCCGCCGCCUCCCCCGCCGUGCUCGCCGCCCGCGCUGCCAGCCAUGAUGCCGCCCAUGAAAUUGGCCACGGCGGACUUGACCCGGGGCUCUUUUGUCUGAGUGCCAUAACAGGCAGCUGUUCAUCCAAUCCACGCAUUACUGAGCAAUGCAAGUCUGAGGUGACCAGCGUUGACCCAAAACCCCUGGUUAUUCUAUUCAGUGCUAGAUGGCCAAUGUUUUUCCUCAAGCAGCAAUCCAGUGCCACUCUUGCCAUAACAGCCGGCUGUCUGAGGAAGACAGGAGUGAGAAGAGGGACACGAGCAGGGCUUUGAUCCUGAAGAGGCUCAUUUUUUCUGUGUAAGAGUAGAACUCCUCACAGGUUAUCACAUACACUCUUGGAGAGGCUAUGCCAGCAGACUAAAUUUUGCAGUAUAUCUGACUCAUUACUUCAGAAAAUACAAUUGACAAGUCUAUUGACAAGGACUCAGGGGAUGAGUGUUUGUCCUCCUGCCCCACUUGUGGUCACCAUUCUGCACAAAACAUGAGGGAGAAAUGUAAGAGAGUAUAUAUAGGCUUCUUAGAAUUUAAAUGGUUGUCUCUGCAAGAUGAGAAGGAAAAGCUCAGAUCUGACAUAUGGGGAGACAGCUUAACAGCUCACCAUUCGGAACAAAUCUGUGCGCUAUUUGAAAUUCUGGGGUUGUUUGCCUCUGACACAAGAACGCUAUGCGGAUAAAACAGCUAGGAUGUGACCUUUCCAUAAUGAAACAUAUAGAGAUGCUUUGAUUUCAGUUCUCUUUGAGGAAAGAGGAUUGCGUUGUUCACUUCUGAGUCAAAGGUGAAGCCCCACUUCUCAAAGGAAGUCAGGCCUGGCAGAUCUGAGCAAGUUCUUCAAAUCGCCCAGCCUGUGGUCCAUCAGGUCCAAGCCAGAUGUCUUUGGUGGUGAGCAGACCUUGAAAUGUCUGGGUAUUCACUUCACAUAAAAAUUUGAGGCUACAUUCUCAAUGUCACUAUUUGAAAAUUGACUCUCUCUCUUUCUGCUAUCCCAUGACUAAUGCAAAGAAAUGUUGGCAGGUUUGAUUUUUUUUAAUGCAAACGUAUUUGUGAGAUUGAGACAAAUAUAAUUUUCUCUCUGAAUGACUAACCACGUCAUGGAGCUAGAGACAUUCACACACAGCUCUUUGAAGGAUCUGCACUGUAUUAUGUCACUUUGCCAUGCAUUAUAAUCAACAUUUGACAAAUUAAACUGCAUUUUACUCAUAAAAGGCACCAGGCUAUGCAAGCCAUUGGAUAUGUUAAUGUUUCCUAAAGGAUUGUGGUAUUUCAUAAUUUAUUAAUAAAUAAAUAAAUAGAUAUUUAUUUCAGUGUGA